GACGAACGCUGGCGGCGUGCUUAACACAUGCAAGUCGAGCGGUAAGGCCCUUUCGGGGGUACACGAGCGGCGAACGGGUGAGUAACACGUGGGUGACCUGCCCUCAGCUCUGGGAUAGCUGGAACGGGUCUAAUACUGGAUAUGACUCCAUGACGCAUGUUGGUGGGGUGGAAAGCCUUGUGCGGCUGAGGAUGGGCCCGCGGCUAUCAGCUUGUUGGUGGGGUGAGG
rnacentral:rRNA from 1 species